rnacentral:rRNA from 1 species
AGAGUUUGAUCCUGGCUCAGAACGAACGCUGGCGGCAUGCCUAACACAUGCAAGUCGAACGAGGGCUUCGGCCCUAGUGGCGCACGGGUGAGUAACGCGUGGGAACCUGCCCUGUGGUACGGAAUAACUCCGGGAAACUGGAGCUAAUACCGUAUGCGUCCUGCGGGACAAAGAUUUAUCGCCAUGGGAUGGGCCCGCGUAGGAUUAGCUUGUUGGUGGGGUAACGGCCUACCAAGGCUUCGAUCCUUAGCUGGUCUGAGAGGAUGAUCAGCCACACUGGGACUGAGACACGGCCCAGACUCCUACGGGAGGCAGCAGUGGGGAAUAUUGGACAAUGGGCGCAAGCCUGAUCCAGCAAUGCCGCGUGAGUGAUGAAGGCCUUCGGGUUGUAAAGCUCUUUCGCACGCGACGAUGAUGACGGUAGCGUGAGAAGAAGCCCCGGCUAACUUCGUGCCAGCAGCCGCGGUAAUACGAAGGGGGCUAGCGUUGUUCGGAAUUACUGGGCGUAAAGGGCGCGUAGGCGGUACUUCAAGUCAGGCGUGAAAGCCCCGGGCUCAACCUGGGAACCGCGCUUGAGACUGGAGAACUAGAGUUCGGGAGAGGAUGGUGGAAUUCCCAGUGUAGAGGUGAAAUUCGUAGAUAUUGGGAAGAACACCGAUGGCGAAGGCAGCCAUCUGGACCGACACUGACGCUGAGGCGCGAAAGCGUGGGGAGCAAACAGGAUUAGAUACCCUAGUAGUCC